rnacentral:rRNA from 1 species
CCUACGGGGUGCUGCAGUGGGGAAUAUUGGACAAUGGGCGAAAGCCUGAUCCAGCCAUGCCGCGUGUGUGAAGAAGGCCUUCGGGUGGUAAAGCACUUUCAGUGGGGAAGAAAGCCUUGGGGCUAAUACCCUCGAGGAAGGACAUCACCCACAGAAGAAGCACCGGCUAACUCCGUGCCAGCAGCCGCGGUAAUACGGAGGGUGCGAGCGUUAAUCGGAAUUACUGGGCGUAAAGCGCGCGUAGGCGGUCUGAUAAGCCGGUUGUGAAAGCCCCGGGCUCAACCUGGGAACGGCAUCCGGAACUGUCAGGCUAGAGUGCAGGAGAGGAAGGUAGAAUUCCCGGUGUAGCGGUGAAAUGCGUAGAGAUCGGGAGGAAUACCAGUGGCGAAGGCGGCCUUCUGGACUGACACUGACGCUGAGGUGCGAAAGCGUGGGUAGCAAACAGGAUUAGAUACCCCGGUAGUC